UACCAUACAAUGCGGCCGCAGUGCGCCCAAAGAUCCUGCCGUGGUAAUCGCCACUCCUUGCAGUUGGAUUAACUACUUCUGGUAAAACCCACUCCCAUGGUGUGACAGGCGGUGUGUACAAGACAGGAACGUAUUCACCGCGACAGCCACUGAUGCACGCGAUUACUAGCGAUUCCCGACUUCACGCAGUCUGAUUGCCAGACACCGCGUCCGGACUGAUCGGGUUUUCUGGGAUUUGGCUCCCCUCGCAGGUUGGCGACCCUCUGUCCCGACCAUUGUGUAUGACGUCGGAAGCCCUGCCCAUAAAGGCCACCGAGGACGACGUCAUCCCAUUCUCCUCCAGGUUGUCACCGGCAGUCUCGACGAAGUGCCUUUCAUAGCAGCAGCAGAGGAUUUGCUGACUCGUGCAGGACAACCAACAUCGCCGGCGUGACGGCGCAACCAUUACAAACGCCUGUGUUCCGGUUCUCUUGCGAGCACUGUUCCAAAAUCUCUUCAGGUUGGUGUGUCAAGGGUGCGUUGGUUUCGCGUUGCAUCAGAUUAAUCCACAUCAUCCCUGGCGGGUAGGUCCCCGUCAAUUCCUUUGGGUUUUAAUCUCUUCCCGACCGUACUCCCAGGCGGUCAACUUCACGCGUUAGCUGCGCCACCGAGAAUGAAGGCCCCAGCAGCUGAUUCCGACAUCGUUUUCGAGGCGUGGACUACCGGGUAUCUAAUCACUGUUUGGCAUCCACCGCGCGCUUUCGUUGCUUGUAAACGAUCAGUAUUAUCCAGAGGCCUGCCUUCGUCAUUGUUCCUCCGCAUAUCUAAGAACACUUCUUUACGCGGAAUUCCACCUCCCUCUGACACACUCUAGCUCGGUGGUGCAAAUGCAGUUCAAGAGUUAAGCUCAGGAUUUGCAUCUUUUUCUUUCCGGAACCGCCUGCGCACGCUUCCAUUGUAAUUUCCGAUUCGCGCUUACCCUACGUAUUACCGCGGCUGCUGGCACGUGAGUUAGCCGGUUGCUUGUUCUGCAGGUACCGUCGGUUACACAGGGUAUUAUCCACGUGCCGUUUCUUCUGCCAAAAGAAUUGCUUUUUUGCCUAACCCGAAGAGCCCAUCACGCACGCGGGUGGCUGAAUCAAGGGGUUCCCCAUUGUCCGGGAAUUUCCCCCACUGCCUCCAUGGGAAUCUGGGCCGAUAAUCUCAGUCUGAUGUGGCUGGUCGUCCAUCUCGAACCAACUACGGAUCGUCGCCGAGUGAGCGCGUUACCCCACCAACUAACGCUAAUCCGAUAUCGGCCGCUCUAAUAGUGCGAGAGGCCAAAGGUCCCCCGCUUUCCACGAAGGCAAUAUGCGGUAUUAGCUACGCUUUCGUAGUUAUCCCCCGCUACUGGAAAGCGGAUUCCGAUGCAGUACUCACUGAUUCGCCGCUCGCCACCAGACCGGGGUCCGUGCACCGCCGUUCGACACGUGUGGUAAAGCAUCCUGGCGUUCAAUCCCAAGACUUGAAAUCGAACCCUCU
rnacentral:rRNA from 1 species